rnacentral:rRNA from 1 species
UUGAUCAUGGCUCAGAUUGAACGCUGGCGGCAGGCCUAACACAUGCAAGUCGAGCGGCAGCACAAGUAACGUUUACUUAUGAGGUGGCGAGCGGCGGACGGGUGAGUAAUGCCUAGGGAUCUGCCCAGUCGAGGGGGAUAACAGUUGGAAACGACUGCUAAUACCGCAUACGCCCUACGGGGGAAAGAGGGGGACCUUCGGGCCUCUCGCGAUUGGAUGAACCUAGGUGGGAUUAGCUAGUUGGUGAGGUAAUGGCUCACCAAUGCGACGAUCCCUAGCUGCUCUGAGAGGAUGAUCAGCCACAACUGGGACUGAGACACGGCCAGACUCCUACGGGAGGCAGCAGUGGGCGAAUAUUGCACAAUGGGGGAAACCCUGAUGCAAGCCAUGCCGCGUGUGUGAACGAAGGCCUUCGGGUUGUAAAGCACUUUCAGUAGGGAGGAAAAGGGUGAGUCUUAAUUACGGCUCAUCUGUGACG